GGUCAAGCGAAUAAGCGCACAUGGUGGAUGCCUUGGCGGUCAGAGGCGAUGAAGGACGUGGUAGCCUGCGAAAAGUGUCGGGGAGCUGGCAACAAGCUUUGAUCCGGCAAUAUCCGAAUGGGGGAACCCACUGUUUAGGCAGUAUCUUUGAGUAAAUUCAUAGCUCAAGGAGGCGAACCUGGUGAACUGAAAUAUCUAAGUAACCAGAGGAAAAGAAAUCAACAGAGAUUCCCUGAGUAGUGACGAGCGAACGGGGAUUAGCCCUUAAGCUAGUAUGGUUUUAGGAAAGCAAUCUGGGAAGGUUGGCCAUAGAAGGUGAUAGCCCUGUAUCCGAAAGGGCCGUACUAGUGAAGAUGAGUAGGACGGGGCACGUGAAACCUUGUCUGAAUAUGGGGGGUCCAUCCUCCAAGGCUAAAUACUCCUGACCGACCGAUAGUGAACUAGUACCGUGAGGGAAAGGCGAAAAGAACCCCGGAGAGGGGAGUGAAAUAGAACCUGAAACCAUGUGCGUACAAGCAGUAGGAGCCCUUAUGGGUGACUGCGUACCUUUUGUAUAAUGGGUCAGCGACUUACUGUUCGUGGCGAGCUUAACCGUAUAGGGGAGGCGAAGGGAAACCGAGUCUGAUAAGGGCGCAUAGUCGCGGGCAGUAGACCCGAAACCGGGUGAUCUAGUCAUGUCCAGGGUGAAGGUGCCGUAACAGGUACUGGAGGCCCGAACCCACUCCCGUUGCAAAGGUAGGGGAUGAGGCGUGAUUAGGAGUGAAAAGCUAAUCGAACCCGGAGAUAGCUGGUUCUCCUCGAAAGCUAUUUAGGUAGCGCCUCAUAUGUAUCCUCUCGGGGGUAGAGCACUGUUAUGGCUAGGGGGUCAUCGCGACUUGCCAAACCAUUGCAAACUCCGAAUACCGA
rnacentral:rRNA from 1 species